rnacentral:antisense_RNA from 1 species
CUCUAUGGCGGGCCAUGGUGGGAGCAUCUAUAGAUGCGCCGCUCCUGGAUCGGUACGCCAAUCCCGCCAUGUGCCUGCCACCCCU